rfam:Capsicum annuum cultivar Zunla-1 chromosome 9, whole genome shotgun sequence
ACCUCAUGAUUUGGGAAUUGCAUUAUCUUAUGAUUGAACCAUUUCCAAACUUCAUAUGAUGGCUCGCCAUUAAGGUGGAAAAAGUUAGUGAUCUCAUUCCUUAGUU